ACGAAGGGGGCUAGCGUUGUUCGGAUUUACUGGGCGUAAAGCGCACGUAGGCGGACUAUUAAGUCAGGGGUGAAAUCCCGGGGCUCAACCCCGGAACUGCCUUUGAUACUGGUAGUCUUGAGUUCGAGAGAGGUGAGUGGAAUUCCGAGUGUAUCGGUGAAAUACGUAGAUAUGCGGAGGAACAGCAAGGGCGCAGGCAGCUCACUGGCUCGAUACUUACGCUGAGGUGACAAAGCGUUUGGAACAAACAG
rnacentral:rRNA from 1 species